rnacentral:rRNA from 1 species
UACGGAGGAUCCAAGCGUUAUCCGGAAUCAUUGGGUUUAAAGGGUCCGUAGGCGGUUUUGGUAAGUCAGUGGUGAAAGCCCAUCGCUCAACGGUGGAACGGCCAUUGAUACUGCCAGACUUGAAUUAUUAGGAAGUAACUAGAAUAUGUAGUGUAGCGGUGAAAUGCUCAGAGAUUACAUGGAAUACCAAUUGCGAAGGCAGGUUACUACUAAUGGAUUGACGCUGAUGGACGAAAGCGUGGGUAGCGAACAGG